UACGAAGGGUGCAAACGUUGCUCGGAAUUAUUGGGCGUAAAGGGCGCGUAGGCGGCCUUCUAAGUCGAACGUGAAAUCCCCGGGCUCAACCCGGGAACUGCGUCCGAUACUGGAAGGCUUGAAUCCGGGAGAGGGAUGCGGAAUUCCAGGUGUAGCGGUGAAAUGCGUAGAUAUCUGGAGGAACACCGGUGGCGAAGGCGGCAUCCUGGACCGGCAUUGACGCUGAGGCGCGAAAGCCAGGGGAGCAAACGGG
rnacentral:rRNA from 1 species